rnacentral:misc_RNA from 1 species
UGAAAGGCGAAACGUAAUGUGAAUCGCAACUAACAGUGAAUCAUCGAAUCUUUGAACGCAGGCCGCAUGUAAUUAUAUCACUUCGUGUUAUAACUAUAUAUUUACGUAUGAGUGUCAGCCCAAUAUCAUUUUGGUUCAUGGGGAUUGUAUUUCUCUUGAUUGAUCACUUUGUGGUUUAUAACUGUCUGGCCUCAUAUGUGAAAGGUUACCCGCUGGAUUUAA